rnacentral:SRP_RNA from 1 species
AGUAGGGCACCGGCAACGGCGGUUCGUGAACCGUGUCAGGCCCUGACGGGAGCAGCACUAAGCGAUUUUCGACGUGUGCCGGUGUCUUACUGUU